UUAUUUUCAGGAAGCUUUCGGGUGGAAUGAACUUAACUUAGCGGCGGACGGGUGAGUAACGCGUGGACAACCUACCCUGUACAGGGGGAUAACAAUGGGAAACCAUUGCUAAUACCCCAUAACACCUUUUAGGGGCAUCCCUUUAAGGUCAAAGAAUUUCGGUACAGGAUGGGUCCGCGUCUGAUUAGCUAGUUGGUGAGGUAAUGGCUCACCAAGGCGACGAUCAGUAGCCGGCCUGAGAGGGUGAACGGCCACACUGGAACUGAGACACGGUCCAGACUCCUACGGGAGGCAGCAGUGGGGAAUAUUGCACAAUGGGCGAAAGCCUGAUGCAGCAACGCCGCGUGAGCGAUGAAGGCUUUCGGGUCGUAAAGCUCUGUCCUAAGGGAAGAUAAUGACGGUACCUUAGGAGGAAGCCCCGGCUAACUACGUGCCAGCAGCCGCGGUAAUACGUAGGGGGCAAGCGUUAUCCGGAAUCAUUGGGCGUAAAGGGUGCGUAGGCGGCCCUAUAGGUCAGAGGUCAAAGGCUACGGCUCAACCGUAGUAAGCCUUUGAAACUGUAGGGCUUGAGUGCAGGAGAGGAGAGUGGAAUUCCUAGUGUAGCGGUGAAAUGCGUAGAUAUUAGGAGGAACACCAGUGGCGAAGGCGACUCUCUGGACUGCAACUGACGCUGAGGCACGAAAGCGUGGGGAGCGAACAGGAUUAGAUACCCUGGUAGUCCACGCCGUAAACGAUGAGUGCUAGGUGUCGGGGGUCGAACCUCGGUGCCGCAGCUAACGCAUUAAGCACUCCGCCUGGGGAGUACGUUCGCAAGAAUGAAACUCAAAGGAAUUGACGGGGGACCCGCACAAGCAGCGGAGCAUGUGGUUUAAUUCGAAGCAACGCGAAGAACCUUACCUGGACUUGACAUCCCUCGGACCGCUUUUUAACCAAAGCCUUCCCUUCGGGGACUGAGGUGACAGGUGGUGCAUGGUUGUCGUCAGCUCG
rnacentral:rRNA from 1 species